GUUUAAGCAUCUUAGAUCUAGUGGAAUCGAUUAUAUAUUUUUUAAUUAUAUUUGUUGAAGCGAUUUAAAUCUUUUUUUUUUCUUUUUGAUUCGAUCUUGAUAAGGUGAUUGCUGAGUUUUCAGCUUAAGAUAAAAGCUUGUUUCGAAAUUCAUCAAAAUUAGGGUGUGAUAAUCCUUUGAUUACUAUUCUUUUCAGUUUGUUCAACCGUUGAAUCGUAAAAUUAGGGUUCAUAGUCCUCACGUUAAUAUAUUUUUGAAUGUAGAAAAAUUAGGGCUAGACUAGUUGUGAGAAGUUCUUGUGAUUUAGGCUAUUCAGUAAAAAUUGACUUGUUGCAAGCCUGGGAUGUAGACGACAGAUGUAGAAUUUUUUUUUUUUUCAAUGCCUGGGAUGUAGACGACAGAUGUAGAACCUGGGAUGUAGACGACAGAUGUAGAAUUUUUUUUUUUUUCAAUGGGAUCACUAUUUUUUGAAUUGGAAAUUGUACUUAUUGGAUCAUUUUGGAGUACAGUAUCAUUUUGUUGAAACUUCAAUGUACACGCACGUAAUUGAGAUCAGAAUUUGGUAGUUUUUAUUAAAUUGUAUCCUUCAUACUGAAGCUUGCAUGAAAGGGGCGUCCCUUUCUCAGCCUUGUACAGAUAGCAGUUCUUUACCAUUUUUCUUGAUAUAUCUUAGUAUGCUUGCCUUUUCAGUUAGAAAGAGCAUGAUUAAUUGGUUUGUUAGAGAGAUUCAGGAAUUUGCUUUGGCCAG
rnacentral:lncRNA from 1 species